rnacentral:lncRNA from 1 species
GUGUUUUACAUUCUGACUGCAUGGUCCUCCAUACACUUGAAUAAGCAGUGGGUACUUCUUGGAUCUAUCAAAUUGUGGGGGUAUAAGCAUUUUGUACCACAAAGUUAUACCAUCCACUUCAAGUUUAUUAAUUUCUUCUUUUGGCAGUAUGAUCUCUUGCAAAGCAGACUGCAAUUCUUGAUUGUCCUCUAAUAUUCUGAGCUCUCUAUCACUCUCAUUCUCAAAAAGAGUAGAAAUAGGAA